ACAAGGCGUAUGGAGUGCUCAACCAGUUGAGCAUCACCGGAUGUAAGACACACGCUAAUGAUUUUUAACUUUUUGUUUAUAAUGGGAUUAAGACCCCACAAAUAUCAGGUAAAAAAAUACAUUAAAUAUUCAGUCUAUUUUAUCGCUCGUCUGCGAUAUUGUACAUAGUAUUAUAACAUAAAUAAAUAAAAUGCCUGACAAUAUUUGUUUAGUUUACUAGUCACAGAUGGCGCGGUAUACUACAUUUUGGAAGGAAGAAGAACACCUCUUCCCGCGUUCUAUUCUCCUGCUAACAUCCGGCUUGCAAAGAUCGUCGUUAUGCUAUUGUAGCAUGUACAUAGUUUUUAGCCAUAGUAUUCACAUUCGCACAAAAAGGAAGCCAUGAAUAAAUACGUUUGAAACGCAGGUAUUCUUAACAGUGGUGUAGUGAGAAAAUAUGUUCUUUCGUAAGAAUUAAGAAGAGGGCGGAGACUGAUACAUUUGUUGAACGAAGAUUUUGCAUGGGAAUCGUGGUACCGAAGAGAGAAACGAAAAUUGCGGAGCACUUCGUUCUGUAGCGGCAAAUGGACUCAUCGAUGAGGUUCCUAGGUCACGAGAUAUUGGCGCCACCGACAAUCGUCACUCAACUCUGCACGAGCGCAAGGUAGA